GCCUUUUUAGUACAAGUUAGUAUAACUGACUUCCAAUCAGUAGAUUCCAGAAAAACCUGGAAAAAAGCA
rnacentral:tRNA from 1 species